rnacentral:lncRNA from 1 species
AGUAUAAUUCUUGAAGGGUUAAUUUACAAAUGGAUGCCUUAGGGUUGGGGUAGAGAUACCACAAAGGAUAGUGAAGUAACCUGUCACUUCCUAGCAGCCAUUUCCUUACCACAAGCACAUCUGAAGGAGAUCAAAAUCAGAAGCAAAACAUCCUGUACGGUCUGUGCUUUGUUUGAAUCAGUGGUUAAAGAUGUAGCUACUUACAGGGAAGAAGCAAGAUGAAUUAGUAUAUUGGUCUAACUCUUCAUCCUUCGCAGCUCCUGUUAAAGGCUCACCAUUAGCUGAGGCCAUUUAGAAGUCAGAGGACCCAGAAGACAUAAUGGACGUUAAAAAAGCUAAGUUUAUAUAGACUCUUGGACAACAUUUCCAGGUUGCUGCUGGUCGAGCACCCUUUCACAGUUCAAGGAGAAAGGGCUUAAGACCCUGAAAUAAAAAAAAAAAUUUAUAGGAAAAUUUCCCCAAAAGGUAAGCACAAUAAAAAUCAAAAGGAGGUACGGGCUGAAGAAUGACUUCCUGCAAUGUGUAAUUUCAAGAAUUAGAGUUUGUC